rnacentral:rRNA from 1 species
AGAGAUGUGUGAUGACGCAUAUCAAUAAGCGGAGGAAAAGAAACUAACAAGGAUUCCCUUAGUAACGGCGAGUGAAGCGGGAAGAGCUCAAAUUUGAAAUCUUCAAGGUUCUACCUUGACGAAUUGUAGUUUAUAGAAGUGUUUUCUGUUAGUAGAGUGGCAAAAGUUCUUUGGAAUAGGACAUCAUAGAGGGUGAGAAUCCCGUAUUUGGUCAUUCUUUCUAGCUUUGUGAUACACUUUCAACGAGUCGGAUUGUUUGGGAAUGCAGUCCAAAAUGGGUGGUAAAUUUCAUCUAAAGCUAGAUAUUGGCGAGAGACCGAUAGCGAACAGGUACCGUGAGGGAAAGAUGAAAAGAACUUUGAAAAGAGAGUUAAACAGUACGUGAAAUUGUCGAAAGGGAAGCGUUUGACACCAGUGUUGUUUUUCCGAAAAUCAAUUACGAAUGUUUUAGUUUUUGAGGAAGUUAUGACUUCAUCGGCUUGCUCUCUUCUUUAUGAAACUUUCUUAAUGCACUUUUCGGUUAACAAGUCAACAUCAAUUUCUUUUGUUGUAAAAGGGUAUGAGGAAGGUGGCUUUCUCUUCGGCGCAAGUGUUUAUAGCCUUGUACCUCUGCAAUCGGAGAGAUUGAGGUCUGCAGCGUAGAUCCUUCGGGGUUAGAUACAUUUGUGCUAAGCUAUAGCCUUGUAUAGACAACUUGUUGACUAUGCUCAGUCAUGUAGCUUACUCGCUUAUGCUAUUUUACCUACGCUUAGGAUGUUGACACAGUAUAGACUGU